CUGGGGCGGUCGCCUCCUAAAAGGUAACGGAGGCGUACAAAGGUUUCCUCAAAUCGGUCAGACAUCGAUUGUAGAGCGUAAAGGCAUAUGGAAGCUUAACUGCGAGACCUACAAGUCGAGCAGAGACGAAAGUCGGUCUUAGUGAUCUGGCGGUAUUACGUGGAAAAGCCGCCACUCAACGGAUAAAAGUUACUCUAAGGA
rnacentral:rRNA from 10 species